UACGUAGGGGGCGAGCGUUGUCCGGAGUUACUGGGCGUAAAGCGCACGCAGGCGGUCUGCGAAGUUUGGAGUGACAGUUGGUGGCUCAACCACCAAAGUGCUUCGAAAACUGGCAGACUUGAGGGCUUCAGAGGGACACGGAAUUCCGGGUGGAGUGGUGAAAUGCGUAGAGAUCGGAAAGAACACCAACGGCGAAAGCACUCUGCUGGGCCGACACUGACACUGAGAGACGAAAGCUAGGGGAGCGAAUGGG
rnacentral:rRNA from 1 species